rnacentral:rRNA from 1 species
UUGCUGGGGUGGAUGAGUGGCGAACGGGUGAGUAACACGUGAGUAACCUUCCCUUGACUCUGGGAUAAGCCUGGGAAACCGGGUCUAAUACCGGAUACGACUGGUCACCGCAUGGUGGCUGGUGGAAAGAUUUAUCGGUCUUGGAUGGACUCACGGCCUAUCAGCUGGUUGGUGGGGUAAUGGCCUACCGAGGCGACGACGGGUAACCGCGCCUGAGAGGGUGACCGGCCACACUGGGACUGAGACACGGCCCACACUCCUACAGGAGGCAGCAGUGGGGAAUAUUGCACAAUGGGCGCAAGCCUGAUGCACCGACGCCGCGUGAGGGAUGACGGCCUUCGGGUUGUAAACCUCUUUCAGUAGGGAAGAAGCGAAAGUGACGGUACCUGCACAACAAGCGCCGGCUAACUACGUGCCACCAGCCGCGGUAAUACGUACGGCGCGAGCGUUAUCCGGAAUUAUUGGGCGUAAAGAGCUC